UACGGAGGGUGCAAGCGUUAUUCGGAUUCACUGGGUUUAAAGGGUGCGUAGGAGGGCAGGUAAGUCAGUGGUGAAAUCUCCGAGCUUAACUUGGAAACUGCCGUUGAUACUAUCUGUCUUGAAUAUUGUGGAGGUGAGCGGAAUAUGUCAUGUAGCGGUGAAAUGCUUAGAUAUGACAUAGAACACCAAUUGCGAAGGCAGCUCGCUACACAUAUAUUGACACUGAGGCACGAAAGCGUGGGGAUCAAACAGG
rnacentral:rRNA from 1 species